rnacentral:rRNA from 1 species
ACGAUCAGCCACACUGGGACUGAGACACGGCCCAGACUCCUACGGGAGGCAGCAGUAGGGAAUCUUGCGCAAUGGGGGCAACCCUGACGCAGCAACGCCGCGUGUGGGAUGACGGCUUUCGGGUUGUAAACCACUUUCAGUGAUGACGAAAAUGACGGUAAUCACAGAAGAGGGUCCGGCCAACUACGUGCCAGCAGCCGCGGUAAUACGUAGGGCGCAAGCGUUGUCCGGAUUUAUUGGGCGUAAAGGGCUCGUAGGCGGUUUGGUAAGUCGGGUGUGAAAACUCAGGGCUCAACUCUGAGACGCCACUCGAUACUGCCAUGACUAGAGUCCGGUAGGGGAGUGCGGAAUUCCUGGUGUAGCGGUGAAAUGCGCAGAUAUCAGGAGGAACACCAACAGCGAAGGCAGCACUCUGGGCCGGUACUGACGCUGAGGAGCGAAAGCGUGGGGAGCGAACAGGAUUAGAUACCCUGGUAGUCCACGCCGUAAACGGUGGGAACUAGAUGUGGGGUCCGUUCCACGGAUUCCGUGUCGCAGCUAACGCAUUAAGUCCCCCGCCUGGGGAGUACGG